GAGUUCACAACCAAACACACUACCACCACCACCACUGCCUCUAAUAACAACCAAUUCUACAGUGGUCCCACUGCUUACGGUAACAACAACAACAAUAACCAACAACAGUACUAUAACGGCGUUAGCGAUUAUAGUACUACGAGCAACAACCAGCAGAAACAGCAGCAGUUCUACAGUGGCGACAACUUUUACAGUAACAACCAGCAGCAACAGCAGGACUACAACGGUGGCAACACUUACAACAAUAACGACAACAACAAUGAAGAGGAGGAGGAGUACUACAACAACAAUGGUGGUAAUACUUACAACAACAACAACAACGAGCAACAGGAGUUUAGUGAAACAAGAUUAAGUGCUAGAACUUACAGCACCAACCCAACAAAUUACGGAAACAAUUACAACAACAACAAUCAAGAACAGAGCUACUCCACCAACUACAAUAACUACAAUACUGGCAAAAGUAAUUACAGAGUGCACCAGCAGCAAGGGAUGAGUGACACAAGAUUCUUGGGAAAUGGGAAAUUCUAUUAUGAUAUCAACGCUGAGAAACAUGCUAGGGAUCCAUAUGAAAAUGCAAGAGAAAUUUGCUGCAAUUAACCAACAGUACAACAACAGGAACACCUGUGGAAACAAUGAAUACAACACCAAUAACAACAAUUUUGAGAAUGUACAACAACAGGAACACCUAUGGAAACAAUGAAUACAGCACCAACAACAACAGUUUUGAGAAUGAAGAGGAGUUCCAAGUUGAAGACAACAUGCCUUGAGCUAUUGUUCAACACUUUGAUGAAAACAAAAAAAGUAUCAACAAUAACAGAUUUGAGAAUGAAGAGGAGUUCCAAGUUGAAGACAACAUGCCUUGAGCUUUUGUUCAACACUUUGAUGAAAACAAAAAAAAAGUGAACAUAGUGAGCCAAAAGGAAUGUUAUGUGUCCCACAAUUAUCAUUGAUGUUGUUUUCCUUUUUUUAUCUAAGUUAUAUUUUAUUAGCAAAAUGUUAAUUAAACUACAGAGUUAUUUUUGGGUGUUUUAUGUAUAAUUAUGGUGAAUCUCUACUGAUAUAUGGCUAUGAUUAUAAGGAAUUGUAUUUUUAAUGUGGUGAAAUCGACAGUGAAAAAAAUUGUAGUGAUAAAAAAUCAUUGUGUCAACUAGCUUAUGCCUGUAAGCAAUCUAAUGUCAGUCUGGGUAUUUUACUAGUCUGAAGUAAAAACUGGGCCUAUAAUUAUGUCGCCUAUAUAAUAUUGACCGGAUUAGUAUAAUUCUGCUAGUCUACCAGUGAGAGUGAAGAUGC
rnacentral:lncRNA from 1 species